rnacentral:rRNA from 1 species
CUAUUGCCAAGUCGAAGCGAAUGGAUUGAGAGCUUGCUCUCAAGAAGUUAGCGGCGGACGGGUGAGUAACACGUGGGUAACCUGCCCAUAAGACUGGGAUAACUCCGGGAAACCGGGGCUAAUACCGGAUAACAUUUUGAACCGCAUGGUUCGAAAUUGAAAGGCGGCUUCGGCUGUCACUUAUGGAUGGACCCGCGUCGCAUUAGCUAGUUGGUGAGGUAACGGCUCACCAAGGCAACGAUGCGUAGCCGACCUGAGAGGGUGAUCGGCCACACUGGGACUGAGACACGGCCCAGACUCCUACGGGAGGCAGCAGUAGGGAAUCUUCCGCAAUGGACGAAAGUCUGACGGAGCAACGCCGCGUGAGUGAUGAAGGCUUUCGGGUCGUAAAACUCUGUUGUUAGGGAAGAACAAGUGCUAGUUGAAUAAGCUGGCACCUUGACGGUACCUAACCAGAAAGCCACGGCUAACUACGUGCCAGCAGCCGCGGUAAAUACGUAGGUGGAAGCGUUAUCC